AUGAACGCUGGCGGCGUGCCUAAUCCAUGCACGUCGAGCGAACGGACGAGAAGCUUGCUUCUCUGAUGUUAGCGGCGGGCGGGUGAGUAACCCGUGGAUAACCUACCUAUAAGACUGGGAUAACUUCGGGAAACCGGAGCUAAUACCGGAUAAUAUUUUGAACCGCCUGGUUCAAAAGUGAAAGACGGUCUUGCUGUCACUUAUAGAUGGAUCCGCGCUGCAUUAGCUAGUUGGUAAGGUAACGGCUUACCAAGGCAACGAUGCAUAGCCGACCUGAGAGGGUGAUCGGCCACACUGGAACUGAGACACGGUCCAGACUCCUACGGGAGGCAGCAGUAGGGAAUCUUCCGCAAUGGGCGAAAGCCUGACGGAGCAACGCCGCGUGAGUGAUGAAGGUCUUCGGAUCGUAAAACUCUGUUAUUAGGGAAGAACAUAUGUGUAAGUAACUGUGCACAUCUUGACGGUGCCUAAUCAGAAAGCCACGGCUAACUACGUG
rnacentral:rRNA from 1 species